CAUUAAUUAUAUACCAAGGGUGAUUAAAUUGAAGUUACCACAGGUUGCAGGGGUAAGUGCUCCAUCACCUAUAACCAUACAAGUUCCUAGGAAAACGAGCAUGGUUAGAAAGUUCUGAGCAGUCGUGCUUCUCUCUAGAAACUUCUUUGUCCUAGUGCUAAAAGGGCUUCCUCCCCCUCCACUAUAAAACUCCAUAUUCGAAUCCGAUUCCAGCUUCGUGUUCUGAAUUGUGAAUUUGCUCUUGAAAUUUAUGUGUCGACAGAUGUAUGAAUACAGAGCGAAAGUCCCGCCUUCACCAUGAUCAUUCGCGUGAAGCACGAUGAAUACGUAUUUAAUCAAAACAAGAGAUGUUAGUGUCCAGAUUAUAAGACUUAGUGUUCCUAAAAGAUCUUCUUCUGAGAGAUUAGUCAACCGAGUCGAAGAGAAAACAUUGACCGGGGAAGUUCCCAAAUCACCGUACACUACUCCAAGUGAUUGGUACCUUCGUCUCUCUAUGUUGAUGAGGCUGAUAAGUCCUAGUGAAGCUCAUGGUUCUGUCAACUGCCUCUGCUUCAUUAAUCUGCUCGCCGGAGUGGUAUAAGCUGCCGCCACCACCUCCACCACCACCACUGGUAUUGCCAUUUUCAAUGUCACUGUUAAUAACCAUGCUAUUGUGUGCUGCAUUUGCUUCCAUUUUUUCUACUCAAUUUGUGGCGUGAUAACCGAUAAGUGAUAAGUAGGGGUAUAUGCAUGCAUUCGUAGUUUUAUAUAUUAAAUAUAGCCGACAGAAAUGUAUUAUGUCUUAAAAUAAUUCUCAGGCGGAUUCAUUACAAUCCAAGAGCAGGUAAGAAUGACCAAUGCUAUAUGCAUGCAAUACGUGAUUUUAGGUUAAGAAAUGCAAAUCUACAAUGACUCUAUAUCUCACUUUAUUAGUGCUCCCAUUUGCAAUAAGUACAAAUUCAUAUGAUUAUUUUACAUUCGACAGUCCAUUUUAAGACAUAGUAGCGGGGCCAGAAUUUUGUCUGUCACGUGAGCCAAAUAUAUAUUUAAAGUUAUCCACGAAAGUAGUGAGACGCCACUAAUAUAAUCAAACUUAGUGUAGAAACCCCAUAAUUUAUUGUUGAACUCCAACCUAAUCCAAUAUUGCCUACAAUAAUGCUUUUUAUUUUAUUUUAUGGAUCAUAAUUGAUUACAUUAGUUACUAUCCAUGGGCAUAUUUUUACAAUGAAAUAAGGCUUAAUCAGCAGAACGAGUGACAUGCGUAGUUGGACGUCGCCACGUGGCAAUUUUGGAUUUAGGAAAUAGACAUGUGAUGUGAAACUACAUACACCAUAUUUCUUAAUAUUAUCCUAAGGAAAUGCCAAUUCUAUGAUCUUUGUUUUCUAGUCACUUUUUGGUAUCAAGAAUUAAUUUUAA